rnacentral:hammerhead_ribozyme from 1 species
AUCCAGGCUGAAGGUUCCCAAAUAGGACGAAACACGCGUCCUGGAU